GACGAACGCUGGCGGCGUGCCUAAUACAUGCAAGUAGAACGCUGAAGAGAGGAGCUUGCUCUUCUUGGAUGAGUUGCGAACGGGUGAGUAACGCGUAGGUAACCUGCCUUGUAGCGGGGGAUAACUAUUGGAAACGAUAGCUAAUACCGCAUAACAAUGGAUGACACAUGUCAUUUAUUUGAAAGGGGCAAUUGCUCCACUACAAGAUGGACCUGCGUUGUAUUAGCUAGUAGGUGAGGUAAUGGCUCACCUAGGCGACGAUACAUAGCCGACCUGAGAGGGUGAUCGGCCACACUGGGACUGAGACACGGCCCAGACUCCUACGGGAGGCAGCAGUAGGGAAUCUUCGGCAAUGGGGGCAACCCUGACCGGGCAACGCCGCGUGAGUGAAGAAGGUUUUCGGAUCGUAAAGAUCUGUUGUAAGUCAAGAACGGGUGUGAGAGUGGAAAGUUCACACUGUGACGGUAGCUUACCAGAAAGGGACGGCUAACUACGUG
rnacentral:rRNA from 1 species